CUCAGGCCACCUGGUGGGGCAUCGUUCUGAGGGGAGGUCGGUAUUGUCUGUUUUGACUCUUGCUCUCAGCUGAGGAGUGUCCUUGGGGAUGUUAAAUUCUGGACCCACAUGGUUGCCCUGCUCAGGGGCUGAACAAGCUCCUGCGGUGCAGAACGGGGCCUCAGGGUGAGAAGCCACCGGAGGUGUGGAGCCAGCACUCACUGCCGCCAUCCUCCCCACAGGUGCAGGUGAGUUCAGCAGAGGGCAGGGCAGCACAGCCACAGCACCUGCUGCGGAGGCCACACGGGGCGUCAAAUGAGAGAGGAGAAUGGCUUUAAUAGUGGUGGUGGCAGUGGAUGUGGAAAGAAAAAGACAGAUUUGCUGUGUUUUUAGGAUGUAGGAGGUGAUAAACAAUGGUCAACCUCCCCUCCCAUCACACAGAUAUUUACUGCUGUGAUUUGGUUUCUUGGGAUGCAGACCGAGGCUGAGUUUGUCCUGUGAGCUGUUUGCAGAGAGCCCUUGGACUGACACGUGUGAGAAGGAGUGAGCAGGCUGCAUACUGUUGCAGGUGCUGGCAGAAUAGUCAGGUGAGGCCAAGGCAAGAAACAGACAAAUGUGUAACAUCAGGUGUGCAAACCAGAUGGCUGGACCAGGUGAAUGAAGGUGGAAGGGGCAAUGAUGGUGACUGGAAAGGCAAAGCAACCUGGCCGUGACAUCUCAGGAGCAGGCGGCCCUUUCCUGCAGUGGCUGCUCUGGGAGCUGCACCCUGUGCAUGGUUUCAUCUUUUGGUUACAAUUCACUGCCUCUCUGCAGGACAUGGGGCAGUCGCCUCUCUGAUGGGUUGGGGACGGCGGGCGCAGCUUCGGCGAGGGACCCGGGCCUCCUGGUCUCCCUGCUCAUCUGGCCGCUCCGGCUCUGGCAGGGAAACGCGCAGUACAGGGCAAUGUGCAACCUGGACCCCUGGCAAGAGACUUGCAGGGCUGGCAAGUGGAGCUGCGCCCUGGCCACCUGCUACGGAUUUAGCAUAGAAAAAGCCUCUCACGAUCAAGAAAACGUUUCCCUCGCUGCCCCUCCCCCUCCACCAAAACAAACGAAAAACUGACUCAGAGGGCCGUGAGCCUUGUUUCUGACGACCACUGGUGCCUUCUGAUGACUGCAGAAAUGAGAGGGCAGCAGGGCUGGAUGAAGAUCUUUUGGAAACCCUAGCGCUGAUACCAAUGAUGCCACAGUGUGGAAAUAAAACAUAACUCACCUUUUUUCUAUUUUUCUGUUUUUGUUAUCGGGGAUCAAACUCGAGUCCUUGAGCUUGCGGGGCAGGAGGCAGAACCACUGAACUAAAUCUCCACCCCAACAUAACUCUUUUUUUUUUAAUGUUAAAUUCUUUUUUUGGUAUAUUUUAGGUAUACAACACAAUUACAUUUCUUAUUGGGAAUUGUACCUGUUGUGCCCAGAUUUCGAGGUCCCCAAAGACCACCAAGGAGCCGAUUCCGAUGUAAACACACGAGGGUCCUUUAUUUAAGCUCGAGCAGGGACUCCCAACCAUCACUGCCACAGCGGGUCAAGAUUGAGAGCCCUGACUCCAAAUCAGCAGGGGUUUUUAUAGUAGUUACAGCAAGGUUCUAGAUUGGCAGUUAAACCUGAUUGGUUGUGCCUUGUGUACCCAAGCUGCAAACGGUUACACCUGGGACUUUGGGGUAGCUGUUGCCAGGGGACAGCUGAACACUUAUCACAAGCAGGUGGGCAAAGUACA
rnacentral:lncRNA from 1 species